UACGUAGGGUCCAAGCGUUAUCCGGAAUUACUGGGCGUAAAGAGUUGCGUAGGUGGCAUAGUAAGCAAAUAGUGAAAGCGUACGGCUCAACCGUAUUUCCAUUAUUUGAACUGCUAAGCUUGAGCAUGAGAGAGGUAGCUGGAAUUUCUAGUGUAGGAGUGAAAUCCGUAGAUAUUAGAAGGAACACCGAUGGCGUAGGCAGGCUACUGGCUCAUUGCUGACACUAAGGCACGAAAGCGUGGGGAGCGAACGGG
rnacentral:rRNA from 1 species